rnacentral:rRNA from 1 species
UACGGAGGGUGCAAGCGUUAUCCGGAUUCACUGGGUUUAAAGGGUGCGUAGGCGGGCAUUUAAGUCAGUGGUGAAAUACCUGAGCUUAACUUGGGAACUGCCAUUGAUACUAUUUGUCUUGAAUGUCGUGGAGGUUAGCGGAAUAUGUCAUGUAGCGGUGAAAUGCUUAGAUACGACAUAGAACACCUAUUGCGAAGGCAGCUCACUACACGAAUAUUGACACUGAGGCACGAAAGCGUGGGGAUCAAACAGG